GGGCAGUACGAAACCCGUAAGGCGAAAUGAAGGUGAACGCCGGCGCGGUCCGGCGGAGGUUGGAUCCCGUCCCGUGGGGGCGGCGCACUACCGGCCGAUCUUCUCCGCCCUGUCGGCGAGGUCGAGCGAGAGCGUGCAAGUCGGGACCCGAAAGAUGGUGAACUAUGCCUGAGGAGGUUGAAGCCAGAGGAAACUCUGGUGGAGGACCGUAGCGAUUCUGACGUGCAAAUCGAUCGUCAAAUUUGGGUAUAGGGGCGAAAGACUAAUCGAACCGUCUAGUAGCUGGUUCCCUUCGAAGUUUCCCUCAGGAUAGGCUGGCGCUCUGUCGCAGUUUUAUCUGGUAAAGCGAAUGAUUAGAGGUCUUGGGGGCGAAACGCCCUCAACCUAUUCUCCAGUAUCUGAAUUAUACAUCAACCUUAUUUUAACAUUUGAUGCCUUGUUUACAGCAGCCACUUUUCAUUAUUAGGAUAGGAUAGGAUAAGAUAUGAUAUUCAUGUUUAUCCCCCAUGAAUGGGAAAACCCAGGGGGUUAACACACUGCCAAUCAAAUCACCUUGCGCCCACUAUAGGGUUACACACGCGACGCACUUAACCGCCAGACUAACCGGCCGGAAUUAUUGCAGUCGUUUCUAAGAAAAGUGAUGGAUCUCAUAACAUCCGACAACCCAAAGAUGUCGUACGAGAUUAAAGAACUCUCGUUGGAAGCAGUUGUGCAGCUGUGGCACAUACCUGGGCUGGUGACCGAGGUUUAUCUGAACUACGACUGCGAUUUCUACUGCUCCAAUAUGUUUGACGACCUCAGCAAACUGUUGUCGAAGGUGGGUGUGGGUUGGGGUUAUAGGGGUAAAGUUAGUUUGAACGUGGGUUUGAGUUGAGCAUAUAGAGGUAAAG
rnacentral:ncRNA from 1 species